AGGAGAUAACUUACAACUAGAUGGGAGGAACAUAACCAUGGGAAACUCUGGAUUCCAGGUUUUUUGGACUUGGUAGGAGUUUACUUUAAAUAGUUAAAAAGUCAACUAGAAUAUCAGAGAAGUUCACCUGAGAAUGCAAGGAGACAAGACUAGGACUUCUUUGGGAACCCACCAAGUUGCUGGCGUCCUGGCAGCAAGCUGUGCAAGUUGAAGUGGAAUCUGAUUGAGGUCCUAAAUCAGCCAUGUCUCUAAGGAUCUCUGGGCCUAAGAUGUUAAGACAACUCCAGGGUUAUUGCUGGACUCCGUGCCUGCACCAUGAACCCACCGCUCCUGGAGGCCAUUUCCCCCCCCUUUUUUGUUGCCCUGCUUGUUGUAGCCUCAUUGUGGUUAUUAUUAUUGCCAUUGUUGAUGUUGUUCCUUGUUGGAUAGGACAGAGAGAAAUGGAGAGAGGAGGGGAAGACAGAGAGGGGGAGAGAAAGACAGACACCUGCAGACCUGCUUCACCGCCCAUGAAGCAACUCCCCUGCAGGUGAGGAGCCAGGGGCUCGAACCAGGAUCCUUACGCCGGUCCCUGCGCCACAUGCGCUUAACCCACUGCGCCACCGCCCGACCCCCGAUAUUUUACCUUUUUUAGAAAAAAUAAACAAAUGCAGAUAUGGUUCAGAUACCUAUAGUUCCUUCCUUUUUGCUUUUUCAUCUCUUCAUAAACAAUUACAGAUCUGAGUUUGUUAUUUAUCUUUAUGACAGUCUUCAAAGUUACUUAUAAUAUACAUAAAGUUAUCACAAUGUAUUUCUUGGAAUACCAACCAUAUGUUUAUACAUGUGUAUACUAUUGUACUAUCAUGUCAUAUAUAAACCAUAUAGAGAUAAAUCAUAAAUGGGUAACUUUCUGAUUAGCAAAACUAGUAGCUCUCAUUAUCAAUAUAGGAUAUAAACUACUCUAGAAAAAAGGAUAACAGGGUGGGGGUAGAGAGCAUAACGGUUAUGCAAACAGACUCUCAUGCCUGAGGCUGAAAGACACAGAUUCAGUCUCUUGCACCACAAAGCUGAGCAGUGCUCUGGUAAAAAACAAAACCAACCAAACAAAAAACAACCCUCACCUCCAAAUAGUGAAUCAUAUAUAUUAAGUUUAAAUGCAACUUUCUCAGUUCGCAAAAUGUAUUUGCAUUAACUUAUAGUAAAAAUAUACUUCCAACUCUAGGUAAAACAUUUGAAAGCCAUCGCUCUAGCUCAAUCAUUUUUAUUAUUGUAUAGUAUUUCAGUAUGAUUAUAUAUACCAGUUUAGUAAUUUUUCCCAUUGUUUCCAUAGCCUUACUACAAACAAUACUGCAAAAAAAAAAAAAAAAAAUACUGUUAACUUUUGUCUUCUUGUGCAAAUGCUUCCUCAUACAAGUGGAAUUGCUUGAGUACUUGCAUCUUCAAAUCUGCUAGAUACUGCUGUAUUGCUCUUCACUAUGGAGUUUUCCAUUAAUAGCAAACUAGUUUCAAUCACUGACAUUAGAUAUUUUAUGUAUUUGGGGCUUUUUUUUUUUUUUUUUUUUACCUGAUGGGUGUAAAAUAGCAGCUCACUAUAUUAAAUUGCUUUCCCCUAAAUA